GACGAACGCUGGCGGCGUGCCUAAUACAUGCAAGUUGAGCGCAGGAAACUGACGGAACUAUUCGGAGGGAAGGCAGUGGAAUGAGCGGCGGACGGGUGAGUAACACGUAAGGAACCUGCCACAAGGAAUGGGAUAACUCCGAGAAAUAGGAGCUAAUACCGGAUAGUUCAUAGGACCGCAUGGUACGUUGACGAAAGGCGCUCGGGCGUCACCUUGAGACGGCCUUGCGGUGCAUUAGCUAGUUGGUGGGGUAACGGCCCACGAAGGCGACGGGGCAUAGCCGACCUGAGAGGGUGAUCGGCCACACUGGGACUGAGACACGGACCAGACUCCUACGGGAGGCAGCAAUAGGGAAUCUUCCACAAUGGACGAAAGUCUGAUGGAGCAACGCCGCGUGAGUGAUGAAGGUUUCGGAUCGUAAAACUCUGUUGUAAGGGAAGAACACGUACGAGAGGGAAUGCUCGUACCUUGACGGUACCUUACGAGAAAGCCACGGCUAACUACGUGCCAGCCGCCGCUGUAAUAC
rnacentral:rRNA from 1 species